AUACGUAGGGGGCGAGCGUUGUCCGGAAUGACUGGGCGUAAAGGGCGUGUAGGCGGCUGUCUAAGUCUGGAGUGAAAGUCCUGCUUUCAAGGUGGGAAUUGCUUUGGAGCAUGGAUGGCUUGAGUGCGGAAGAGGUAAGUGGAAUUCCCAGUGUAGCGGUGAAAUGCGUAGAGAUUGGGAGGAACACCAGUGGCGAAGGCGACUUACUGGGCCGUAACUGACGCUGAGGCGCGAAAGCGUGGGGAGCGAACAGGAUUAGAUACCCUGGUAGUCCACGCGGUAAACGAUGAAUGCCAGGUGUUGCGGGUAUCGACCCCUGCAGUGCCGGAGUAAACACAAUAAGCAUUCCGCCUGGGGAGUACGGCCGCAAGGUUGAAACUCAAAGGAAUUGACGGGG
rnacentral:rRNA from 1 species